AGACAGAUACUCUUACUAUCUCCCUUUUACAUGUGAGAUAACUGCAUCUUAGAGAAACUUAGUAACCUGCCAAGGUCACACAGUAAGAAAGUGUCCAAGCCAGGAUGCAGACCCAAGUAUGUCUGACUCCAGAUCCCAUUCUCUUUUACCCCCAUGAGAGGCUGAGAGGUUGGUAGAUGGAGAUGAGCUUGGGUGGGUGUAGAUAGGGCACAGUAGUAGGUAUGAAAGAGAAUAUCAUGGGGCAAAAAACCUGGUAUCAACUUUUGGUGACAAUUUGAAACUAUAUCGCAAGUAAUUUGUGCUACUAAUUAUUUGUUAUUACUAAUAAUGCAAUGUUUGUGAAUGACUUACAUGAAGAUAAAUUAGAGCAGAUUUUACUAUCACUCUUAAUAUUACUCUUACUUGGAUUCUGCUAUGUUCACUUUAAGUUAGAAAGAAAGUACUGGAUUUACAGAUGGGUGUUCCUUUGAAGGACUGGAGUUCCAGAUGAAGUGAUCCAAGAGGUACAUUGACUAUCAUGGAAUUUAAGUGGAAACCAGGCCCUAUUUACCAGAUUGCUCACUGUGUGACACGCAUUGAGCUAAACAAGAUGUAUCCACCUAAAACUCCCAGUUGACCUGAAAGAUGGGAGAGAUUUGAGGAUAUCUAAAUGCAGACGUGAAAGAACCUGAAGAAAUGAAAAGUUUGAGAAGUGGGAGCGAGAGAAGAUUCUGCUGUAGUAAUAACCUCCUGAGGAAGAAGAGCAAAUGUGUAUGGAGAGUCUACUGCCCAAGAGACAUACUGAAAAAUAGAAGAUGGUCCCUGACUGCCACAAAAUACGGGGCCAAGGUCUUCUAUAGCCUUACUGAUUUCUUGGAUACUUGUUCUGUCAGCUAUCAGGAGAGGAAUUUACCAGAGAAUGUGCUCCACCAAAGUAAGUGAAUAAACCAAGAAAGAAGAAGAUACAGGAUGUAUGAGCCAGAGGAUCCGAUUUAGAACAGCACUAAUGGACAAUCCUCAAAUGAUACAGCUGUGCAGCCAUCCUGGAGAAGCAACCUAUGCGGAGAGAAGCCCCAGGCUGGCGGCUCUGGGAGGGCGGAGUGCGCUUGACAGAGAGGGAGUACAUGAUAUAUUUACAAGACAGCCAAAGACGAUUCACCUUUAUAUAAUUGAAGACUGUGAAAAAACAAAAACAAAACAAUGAAGUAAAACUAGUACAUAAAAAUUAUAUUUCAAGAAAAAAAUCUGCUGAAAUAAAACCUGCAUUUACAUGUUGAAAAGUACACACCAUGACUUUGGGGGAAUAUCUGUGACAGUGACAGUGAACUCUAGACAUGUCCUAAUAAAACGAUUAGAUCUUGAAGAUAAAGGACAAAAUCUGGGCCUCCAGGUGAAAAACCAAAAUCACUUACAGAAGGAAGAAUAUUAGGGCUUCAUCAGACUUCUCAACAACCACAUUCAAUGCAGAAAGUUGCUGAGGAAAUUCUGUAGGAUACAAAAGGAAAUAAGUAUGAGCCAAUGAUGGCAUAACCAACCAAUCUAUUCUUCAAGUAUCAAGGAUACAUAAAAUCUGUUUUGAAUAUGCAAGUACUUGUUGGCUUAUCCUGUGUAAUCUACUAGAAGAUAAGCUUCAGCCAACCAAGUGAUGAUUGGAGAAACAAAGGCCAAAGAAUUGAUGAUUUUAUUUAUUUAUUCAUGAGAGACAGAGAGAGAGAGAGAGGCAGAGGGAGAAGCAGGCUCCCAAGGAGCAGGAAGCCCACUGCGGGACUCAAUCCCACGACCCUGAGAUCAUGACCUGAGCCGAAGGCAGAUGCUUAACCAUCUGAGCCACCCAGGCGCCCUAUUAAUACCAUUUUCCACAAAAAGAAGCAGGACUCCUUGGGAUUUCAUUUGUUUAUUUGAGAGAGCGUGAGCAGAGGGAGAGGGAGAAGCAGACUCCCCGCUGAGCAGAGAGCCUGAUGUGGGGCUCAAUCCCAGGACCCUUGAAUCAUGACCUGAGCCGAAGGCAGACACUUAACUGACUGAGCCACCCAGGCACCUCAGGGAGUAUGACAUCUUAACAAUAUUAAGGCUUCCAAUCCAUGAACAUAGGAUAUCUUUCCAUUUAUUUAAGUGUUCUUUAAUUUCUUUCAACAAUGUUUUAUAGUUUUCAGUGUUUUGGUUUUUUUUUUAAACUUUUUAAGAUUUUAUUUAUUUAUUUGAGAGAGAGAUACAGCGGGAGAGGGAGCACAAGAUGGGGGAGUGGGAGAGGGAGAAGCAGACUCCCUGCUGAGCAGGGAGCCUGACGCAGGGCUCCAUCCCGGGAUGCAGGGAUCAUGACCUGAGCCAAAGGCAGAUGUUUAAUGGCCGAGCCACCCAGACACCCCUAGUUUUUAGUGUUUAAGUCCCAUUCCUUUUUUUGUCUCAUUCCUUUGUUUUCCCUAAGUAUUUUGGGUUUUUUGGUGCUAUUGUAAAUUGAUUGUUUUUAUAAUUUCAUUUCAGAUUCUUAUUGCUAGUUUCAGUUGAUAUUUGUAUAUUGAUCCUGUAUCUUGUAACCUUGGUACACUCGCUUAUUUGUGCUAAAAGCUUUUUAGUAGAUUCCUUAGAGUUUUACAUAUAAGAUCAUGUCAUUUAUGAAGAUACAGUUUCACUUCUUCCUUUCCAAGCUGUUACAACCGUUUAGCUCUUCUUUGUUUUGUUUUUGUUAUUCUCUUCCUGUCCCCUCCUUCUGAUUAUUUGAUUAUCUUUUUAUAUUCUUAUUUUAAUUUUACUAUUGAAUUUGUAGUUAUUCUUUUUUUAAAUUGAGGUAUAAUUUACAUAUAACAUUAUAUUAG